rnacentral:misc_RNA from 1 species
AACCUAGCACACCUGCGGUGUGUACCUGCGGAGGGAUCAUUAACGAGUUACCACUCUAUAACCCUUUGUGAACAUACCUACAUGUUGCUUCGGCGGUCGGCCCCCCCGGGCCCCCGGCCCCGCUCACGCGGGGCGUCCGCCGGAGGAUAACCAAACCCUGAUUUAACGACGUUUCUUCUGAGUGGCACAAGCAAAUAAUCAAAACUUUUAGCAAUGGAUCU